GACCGCCAAAUUGCUGCGCGAGCAGAUGCUGGUUGUGCCUAGAGUGGUGCAAUCAGUGUUUGGAGCCUGGCAAAGGCAGCUGGAAGCUGUUUGGGGCGCUGGAGCCAGGAAGCCCAGAGCGGGACGAGGGCAGUGGCUGAGCAGGGAGUGGUCUGGGCAAGAGAGCUGCAGGCGCUCUGUUUCAGCCCUCUCUAUUUGUCUGAAGGUUUCUUGCCAUGAUUGUGCAGAGGAUGGAGAAGCUUGAGGCUCUUGAAGAGAUCAAAUGCCUCCCCCAGCAGGCUGAGCCAGAACAGCAGCAGCUGGGAAAGAAGAGACACCCAGGCACCCGGAACAGCUCAAGCGAAGACACUGCUUUAGAAAGGAAUGCAUGGUAGUAACACAGGUUACCCAGUACAUGCAGAUUUACACAGUCAUGUCAAUAGCACUCAGUGUGUCUGCUGUCAGCUGUGAAACACGUCCUUCGUGCUUGCUGAUGAUAAAAAUCCGCAUAACUCGCAGCAGCUCUGUCUUUUGUGAGGCGUUCAUUCAGGCAGACCCUCUUGUGAACGUUGUUCAUGGGCUCUUCCAUUUGUGCUCUCAGAGCAGGAAACUCUUACUUAGCCCGGUGGCCAACACUCUUUGCCAUGGAGAACAUUCACAAAUGGGAAUUUUACUUACUUUUCCCUGUAGGAACUGAACAGACCAAUCAGUCUUCAGUUGAUGGGAAGAAGACCAGAAGACCUCUGUGUACUUCAGGGGUCUCCCGGGAGAGCUCGAAGGUCAUGGAUAGUUCCACAUGCCAAAGCACCUCAUCUCAGGAAAAAGAUGCUACUCAGACAGCUGUUGAGGGGAGACCUGAAGAAGAAACUCUGUCCAGCAGCAAGCUGCUGAGCUCCCAAGAGCCUGCUCGUCAGGAACUUCAGAGUCCUGAAGACAGUUUUCGUGAAAGCCUAAAGCUUUUGGGCUCCUCCUUCCCCACACAGGCCCAAACCCUGAGCUUGGUCUUUCCUUUAAGAAUGGUAUCCAACUGUGUGGAAGCUCCUGUGCAAGGACUGCCAAUGUGAGUGGCAAAUGGGAAAGAACAGCAGCAUUGCUGUUGCUGUACUGGCACCUGAAAGGAAGGUGGGGGCAGGUAGGGAGGAAGUUGACUGAGCUUGCAGAGCAUUAACAGGAAAACAGCUUGAGUUUAUAUGCUUUCCUGUAAAAUACGCAGGGGUUAAUUGAAGCAACUACCUUUCUCCUACCUUGGAAUCAACAGCAUCUCAGCAAACUUUGUGUGCCUGAAGUCAGUGGGUUGACUGGUAAUUUUGCUCAGGGGUAAAGCAGUGAUACAGUGAUGGAAGUGUACGGGGAGAGAAGACACACUAGUGCCUCACAAGAGCGGUGAAUAUUGUGUUUAUCAUACUCAAACAUGUGGUCAUGGACAUACGAAAAGUACGGCAGUCUUUCCUCCACACACACUGUAAGGGCGUGAACUGAGCUCAGUAACACAGAUGUGAAGGCAUGUGCUAGCCAUCCCCUCUCCUCCCCUGAAUACUCCUUGAUAGCCCAGGGCUUCCCAGUCCACGCAAGCAAACGCACUGUGGAGCCCUUCCGUCAGGUAAGCUGGUUGAAGAGAAACUCCUGCUCCUCUGCCUUGCUAGUAAGGCAUAAGGUGCCGUUGACCUGCUGGAGUAGUUGCUGCUGACUGUUGUGGUGAACUGUCUAUCCUAAGAGCAGCAAAAGAAUACGAGGACAUACAAACAGCGCUUGGAAGUAAACUCUUUAUUCUCUG